rnacentral:rRNA from 1 species
AUGAAGCCGGAAUCGCUAGUAAUCGCGAAUCAGAAUGUCGCGGUGAAUACGUUCCCGGGUCUUGUACACACCGCCCGUCACACCAUGGGAGCCGGAAAUGCCCGAAGUCAGUGGCCCAACCGCAAGGAGGGAGCUGCCGAAGGUGGAGCUGGUGACUGGGGUGAAGUCGUAACAAGGUAUC